rnacentral:rRNA from 1 species
UUUAACCUACGGGGGGCAGCAGUGAGGAAUAUUGGUCAAUGGCCGAGAGGCUGAACCAGCCACGUCGCGUGAGGGAAGACGGCCCUACGGGUUGUAAACCUCUUUUGUCGGGGAGCAAAGCGAGUCACGUGUGACUCAUUGAGAGUACCCGAAGAAAAAGCAUCGGCUAACUCCGUGCCAGCAGCCGCGGUAAUACGGAGGAUGCGAGCGUUAUCCGGAUUUAUUGGGUUUAAAGGGUGCGUAGGCGGGAUGCCAAGUCAGCGGUAAAAAUGCGGUGCUCAACGCCGUCGAGCCGUUGAAACUGG